CUACAGUUUCAUCUCGAAUUCCCUGUUCUUUUUUCGUCGUUUUAUGAUCUGGGAAUCGCACAGAAUCAGAGGUCCAUUUAAGAAACUUGGCCUACCCAAUCAGGUCAAGCCUACGAAACAUGGCGAUUCGCGAAUACGCGGUGUGGUGUUUGUUCGUACAUUUUCGCGACCAGAAAUUCCUAGAAAACCCUACCGGAGAUCAGUAACAGUAACCUUUGUCCGAAUUCUCCGGCGACAUCAGAAGAAUUUCUCCGUCUUGAGUGGUGGGUUUCGUGUUUGCAGAUGCCUUCCAUCACCGACGGCGGCGACGCGCCGCUUCCGGUCAUUCUGGAAAAGUCCGACGCCGCGAAGAGACCCAUCGAUGGAGGUUAAAGCGUCUCUCCUGUUCCGAAGAUUCAGAUCCUGGACCAUGCCCAUGAAAUCCACGGUCGGAGAAUCCAAGAAUCAGCAUCUCUGGAUCAGCUGGCUUCGCUAUUUACAGAAUGUGCCAUUGCCAUUGUAGCCUAACCCCUUCACCAUCAACUCUCUUCCCUGGUUCCGACCAAAUUCUCACAGGGGAUUCUCACGGGACAUCUAUUCUGGUCCAAACUGGGAGACGCACAGAUCUUGCUGGAUCCAUUUCACAGAUGGAAGCAGCUUUAAAUGUCCAGGAACAUGUAAAACCUGCAAAUGGUACAUGCACAUGAAGGGAAAGUGGAAACCCCAUCUAAUGCUUUUGAAUCUUUUUUUUUGCAUUCUGGGGGAAAAUCCUCUGUCUUUGUGUAUCUUGUUUGUGUAUUUUACAUGCCUGGUAGUGACAAUUUAGCAUAAAGAAAGAACAGAACAGACAUUGUACGGUCUCGGACAUCAGCAAAGUGAGAGUUUUGAAAACUCAUUUUAUGGUAUAAAGAUCAGGAUCUUACAAAUCUUAAUGUUUGUAAUAUGGUAAGAGACUUACACACAUUAAAAGAACACUACUGGUUACAAGAAAAUAAACGAACAAAUGAACUUAUGAUAGGCAAAUAUCUGCAGACGUGGAUGUGAGAGAGCUUCUUUAUGAUGU